GAUGAACGCUGGCGGCGUGCCUAAUACAUGCAAGUCGAGCGAAUGGAUUGAGAGCUUGCUCUUAUGAAGUUAGCGGCGGACGGGUGAGUAACACGUGGGUAACCUGCCCAUAAGACUGGGAUAACUCCGGGAAACCGGGGCUAAUACCGGAUAACAUUUUGAACCGCAUGGUUCGAAAUUGAAAGGCGGCUGCGGCUGUCACUUAUGGAUGGACACGCGUCGCAUUAGCUAGUUGGUGAGGUAACGGCUCACCAAGGCAACGAUGCGUAGCCGACCUGAGAGGGUGAUCGGCCACACUGGGACUGAGACACGGCCCAGACUCCUACGGGAGGCAGCAGUAGGGAAUCUUCCGCAAUGGACGAAAGUCUGACGGAGCAACGCCGCGUGAGUGAUGAAGGCUUUCGGGUCGUAAAACUCUGUUGUUAGGGAAGAACAAGUGCUAGUUGAAUAAGCUGGCACCUUGACGGUACCUAACCAGAAAGCCACGGCUAACUACGUGCCAGCCGCCGCAGUAA
rnacentral:rRNA from 1 species